GAUGAACGCUAGCUACAGGCUUAACACAUGCAAGUCGAGGGGCAGCAUGGUCUUAGCUUGCUAAGGCCGAUGGCGACCGGCGCACGGGUGAGUAACACGUAUCCAACCUGCCGUCUACUCUUGGACAGCCUUCUGAAAGGAAGAUUAAUACAUGAUGGCAUCAUGAGUUCACAUGUUCACAUGAUUAAAGGUAUUCCGGUAGACGAUGGGGAUGCGUUCCAUUAGAUAGUAGGCGGGGUAACGGCCCACCUAGUCUUCGAUGGAUAGGGGUUCUGAGAGGAAGGUCCCCCACAUUGGAACUGAGACACGGUCCAAACUCCUACGGGAGGCAGCAGUGAGGAAUAUUGGUCAAUGGGCGAGAGCCUGAACCAGCCAAGUAGCGUGAAGGAUGACUGCCCUAUGGGUUGUAAACUUCUUUUAUAAAGGAAUAAAGUCGGGUAUGUAUACCCGUUUGCAUGUACUUUAUGAAUAAGGAUCGGCUAACUCCGUG
rnacentral:rRNA from 1 species